rnacentral:tRNA from 1 species
GGGGCUAUAGCUCAGUUGGUAGAGCGUUUCCAUGGCAUGGAAAAGGCCAGGGGUUCGAAUCCCCUUAGCUCCA